CCCUUAGAUGUUCUGGGCCGCACGCGCGCUACACUGAUUCAUGCAACAAGUUUUGUCCUUGGCUGAUAGGCCUGGGUAAUCUUUGAACGUGAAUCGUGAUGGGGAUAGAUGAUUGCAAUUAUUCAUCUUCAACGAGGAAUUCCUAGUAAACGCAAGUCAUCAGCUUGCAUUGAUUACGUCCCUGCCCUUUGUACACACCGCCCGUUGCACCUACCGAUUGAAUGGUCCGGUGAAAUCUUCGGAUCUGAGAGAUGUCUGAUUAAUUUCGGACGCCUUUUGGAAAAGUUGCUUAAACCUUACCAUUUAGAGGAAGGUGAAGUCGUAACA
rnacentral:rRNA from 1 species